AUGAACGCUGGCGGCGUGCCUAAUACAUGCCAGUCGAGCGAACAGACGAGGAGCUUGCUCCUCUGACGUUAGCGGCGGACGGGUGAGUAACACGUGGAUAACCUACCUAUAAGACUGGGAUAACUUCGGGAAACCGGAGCUAAUACCGGAUAAUAUAUUGAACCGCAUGGUUCAAUAGUGAAAGACGGUUUUGCUGUCACUUAUAGAUGGAUCCGCGCCGCAUUAGCUAGUUGGUAAGGUAACGGCUUACCAAGGCAACGAUGCGUAGCCGACCUGAGAGGGUGAUCGGCCGCACUGGAACUGAGACACGGUCCAGACUCCUACGGGAGGCAGCAGUAGGGAAUCUUCCGCAAUGGGCGAAAGCUUGACGGAGCAACGCCGCGUGAGUGAUGAAGGUCUUCGGAUCGUAAAACUCUGUUAUUAGGGAAGAACAAAUGUGUAAGUAACUAUGCACGUCUUGACGGUACCUAAUCAGAAAGCCACGGCUAACUACGUG
rnacentral:rRNA from 1 species